rnacentral:rRNA from 1 species
UACGUAGGGUGCGAGCGUUGUCCGGAAUUACUGGGCGUAAAGAGCUCGUAGGUGGUUUAUCGCGUUGUUCGUGAAAACUCACAGCUCAACUGUGGGCGUGCGGGCGAUACGGGCAGACUGGAGUACUGCAGGGGAGACUGGAAUUCCUGGUGUAGCGGUGGAAUGCGCAGAUAUCAGGAGGAACACCGGUGGCGAAGGCGGGUCUCUGGGCAGUAACUGACGCUGAGGAGCGAAAGCGUGGGGAGCGAACAGG